AGCUGUCUUGUUUAGAGCCCACGAGGCAAGAAAUGAGGGAGUCCUCCAGCCCACAGCCAGCAAGGAAUUGAAUCCUGUCAACAGCCAUGUGAGUAAUCCCGGACAUGGCUCCACCUCAGGGGACCCCUCCCCACCCCUCGCUCCCAAUGACUGAAACCCUGGCUGAGCCUUUGAUCACAGCCUUUGUAUGAGACCACUAGCCACCGUCCCCCGGAGCUUUCCAUCAGUUAUUUGCCAUGAUAACACUGCCAGGUGGUGUUUAAGCAGACACUGUUUUAAAGGUGGAAAACUGAAGCUCAAACAGUUGAUUCAUCCCAGAAUCCCAUUUGCAUUUUUAAACUAUAAUCACACUGUGGCUGAUGAUGACAAGAUUCUUAAUGCCAACUAGCUCAAGUGGAAGCUACUUCCUGGCAAGGGCUCUUCUUUGGGAAUUACAAAUCUGCGUGAGCAAAUGAUGACGGAAAAAAUAUUUUGCACAGCAAAUUGGAAAAUAACUACC